AUAUGGAAUUUCCCAGGCUAGGGGUCGAAUCAGAGCUGCUGGCCUAUACCAUAGUCACAGCCUUGCCAGAUAAGAGCCACAUCUACAGCCUACCCCACAGCUCACAGCAACUCCGUGAAAUUGAGUGUAGGUUAUAUGGAGACUCUCUGUACUUAGUAUCUUUAACAUUUUUUGUAAAUCUUAACUGUUCUAAAAAAUAAAUUUUAUUUUUUUUAAAAAAGUUCUGCCCUUGGGAAGGUUAUAUAUUUGUGGAAAGAAUAACAUAAAUAAAAAUAAGAUAUAGUGCAGGAAACGGUGAUAAAUAUUAUAGAGAAAAAUAUCAUGGUAAGGAAUAGAAAAUAUUGCCCAGAGUGGCAGUGAAGGAUUUGCCUCACUGCUUAGCCACAGGUCUGUGUGGGGAUCCACAGAGUUUGAGAGAUGACCUGGACAUAACAGGUUUCUAGUGGUGAAUGAUGGAAACAAGAUAAGAGGAAUGAUAAGUCCUGGAAAAUCUCAAGGCUGAUAAUAUUAAUGACACUCUAGAAGGAGAGGGAGACCAUUGAAAAUAUGGAACCCCAAGGGGGAGGGAGAGGGAAUGGGAUAGAUUGGGAGCUUGGGGUUAAUAGAUGCAAAGUAUUGCUUUUGGAAUGGAUUAGCAGUGAGAUCCUGCUGUGUAGCCCUGAGAGCUAUGUCUAGUCACUUAUGAUGGAGCAUGAUAGUGGGAGAAAAUAGAAUGUACACAUGUAUGUGUAACUGGGUCACCAUGGUGCACAGUAGGAAAAAAAAAUGUAUUGGGGAAAUAACAAUUAAAAAAAGAGGAAAAAAAAGGAAAAUGUGGAACCAUGGGAAGAGGUGGUCUGAAGCAUGUGGAGCUUGUGACUAUCACGUUCAUGGAGAUCAGUGCUCCCCUUAUAAAGGAAAUCUGAGACUGAAGAACUCUCAACAAUCUUUGCUUGCUCCCAUAACACAGUAGUUAACAAAUUUUAGACUAGCACCCAAGUUUCUGGAUUCCUAAACCAAACAUUUUUUUCCAUAUCAAAUGCUUCCCCUUGCUGAUGAUAGUGAAAUACACCAGAGGCGAUUGCCAAUUGAGAUUACUCAAAUAAGAGAAAUACAUAUAAAUAUUUAUGGGAGUUCCCGUCGUGGUGCAGUGGUUAAUGAAUCCGACUAGGAACCAUGAGGUUGUGGGUUCGAUCCCUGGCCUUGCUCAGUGGGUUAAGGAUCCGGCAUUACUGUGAGCUGUGGUGUAGGUUGCAGACAUGGCUCGGAUCCAGCGUUGCUGUGGCUCUGGCGUAGCCCAGUGGCUGCAGCUCCGAUUCGACUCCUAGCCUGGAAACCUCCAUAUGCCACAGGAGCGGCCCAAGAAAUAGCAAAAAAAGACCAAAAAUAAAUAAAUAAAUAAAUAUUUAUGGUAAGUAAGUAUAAACAUAUUUGCUUUGAUAUAAAUGAUCAAUAAGAUCAUAUUUUGAUUUAAUAUUUUACUAGAGUUUCUAGGUUUUUAAUAUUAAUUAUUGAGACCAUUUUUUGUUCUGAAGUGGUACAUACACUGCUAACUUCAACUUAAGAGUCCCAACUUGUGGAAUUAGCCAAUUUAAUUUUUGCUUCCUAGACUACUCAGAUUUCUUUUAGAUUGGCUCUCUGUUAUUUAAAAUUAGCUUCUUCACAUAUACUAGGUCUUGGCAUUCUUAAAUAAUAGCCACUUGAAUGUAAAUAAAUUCAAAAGCAAAUAGAAGUUAGCUGAUUCAAGUGUCAAGUGAAAAGGAUUUAAUUAAGGUAUGAGGUUUAAAAAACAUAUUGAGAACUGAUUUUGUGGUUGAGAUUGUGAUUUACUUUCAGAUAUGGCACCACUGUAAUCCUUAGCACAAUAAUUUACCCAUAGUAAACACUGAAUUAAAAUCUAUUGUAGGAGCGAAUUGAUCUUCUAUAACAUGUCUUUUUUCUUUUUAUUUCUUUUUUAUGUUUAUAUUUUUUUUAAUUUUUUAUGUAAUGAUUUUUGUUUUUUCCCAUUAUAGCUGGUUUACAGUGUUCCGUCAAUUUUCUACUGUACAGCAUGGUGACCCAGUUUCACAUACAUGUAUACAUUCUUUUUUCUCACUGCUCAGCAUCACUGAUUCUUACAGAAAUGCAAAUCAAAACUACCACAAGUACCACCUCACACCAGUCGGAAUGGCCAUCAUUAGCAAGUCCACAUCGAUGAGUGUGUAUAUAUAACAUUUCUGUAAGUAUGGUAUAUUUUAAAUUAGAAAAAGAGAUGAAAAUAAGAAAACUUUGGUGUGCAGGAAGUCAAAAUGAGUAGGAUACUGAAUCGGAAAGUUUGAGGAACUGUUUGGUUAGAUAAGAAUAAAAGAGAAAAAAAAUCUGUAACACUUUCCUGGUUUUGAAAGUGCCAUGCAGUGAAAUUCACUUAAUAUUUUAUAAUGGGCUAAGUCUAAAAUCUGAGAUUUAUUAUUCUGAACAUAAUUUUCAACUAAAUGGCAUAUAAGGUAUAAUAGGUAUGAAGAAAAAUUUAUAGAAUAGAUUAAAACGCACGUGACGAUGUCAUGAAAGUUGUGCUUUGUGAUUUGUGCAAUGUAUGCUUUCUUAUUCAUGCUAUAUUCACUGUUUCUCUUAUGUCUGACUUUCCUCUAAAAACAGACAAUCAAAAAUCAACUUUUGUCAAAUUUGAAAUCUCUUUAGUUUUAUGUGAUUCAAGUUUUGAGUAUUAAGAACAACUUGAUAAUAAGAUUUUUUAGAA
rnacentral:lncRNA from 1 species